UCAGUCGACUCCUACGGGGAGGCAGCAGUGGGGGAAUAUUGGACAAUGGGGGGGAACCCUGAUCCAGCCAUGCCGCGUGUGUGAAGAAGGCCUUAUGGUUGUAAAGCACUUUAAGCGAGGAGGAGGCUACUGAGACUAAUACUCUUGGAUAGUGGACGUUACUCGCAGAUAAGCACCGGCUAACUCUGUGCCAGCAGCCGCGGUAAUACAGAGGGUGCGAGCGUUAAUCGGAUUACUGGGCGUAAAGCGUGCGUAGGCGGCUUUUAAGUCGGAUGUGAAAUCCCCGAGCUUAACUUGGGAAUUGCAUUCGAUACUGGGAAGCUAGAGUAUGGGAGAGGAUGGUAGAAUUCCAGGUGUAGCGGUGAAAUGCGUAGAGAUCUGGAGGAAUACCGAUGGCGAAGGCAGCCAUCUGGCCUAAUACUGACGCUGAGGUACGAAAGCAUGGGGAGCAAACAGGAUUAGAUACCCUGGUAG
rnacentral:rRNA from 1 species